GAGCUAGAUAUACAUCUGCCUAAGAGGUUUAGGUGAAGCUAUGCCUAGCACAAAUUGGGGCAUUUAUACUGGGAAAAAAAACAAAUGAACUCUUAAGUUAUCAGCAUUAGUAUCAUUUAAAGAACAAGGCUGAAAAAAGAGAUUAAUGGACAAAUUGAAAAACAGAGAGCACAGGCUCCAACUGAGCUCUAAAUUAGGAGAUGAAGAACUAUUCAGCUUAAACAGGUGUUCCAGUUCUUCUCAAUGGUCCCAACACAUGUAGCUCUGCACCCUCCCCCUGCCCCAAGGUAAUAGGUCUAUUUAUUGAGCUAAUUGUGCCUCUGGAUAAAACAUACAUGUGAGAAAUGGGAGGAAAACAGUAUAAAGACAAAAAUCUACAUGUAGUCUAGAACAAAGAGACAGA
rnacentral:lncRNA from 1 species